rnacentral:rRNA from 1 species
UGGUUUAAUUCGACGCAACGCGAAGAACCUUACCUGGGCUUGACAUCCUCUGACAGCUCCGGAAACGGAGUCUUCCCUGCUUGCAGGGACACGAGUGACAGGUGCUGCAUGGCUGUCGUCAGCUCGUGUCGUGAGAUGUUGGGUUAAGUCCCGCAACGAGCGCAACCCUCGACCUUAGUUGCCAGCAUUCAGUUGGGCACUCUAAGGUGACUGCCGGCUAAAAGUCGGAGGAAGGUGGGGAUGACGUCAAAUCAUCAUGCCCCUUAUGACCUGGGCUACACACGUGCUACAAUGGGCGGUACAAAGGGUCGCGAACCCGCGAGGGGGAGCCAAUCCCAAAAAGCCGCUCUCAGUUCGGAUUGCAGGCUGCAACUCGCCUGCAUGAAGCCGGAAUCGCUAGUAAUCGUGGAUCAGAAUGUCACGGUGAAUACGUUCCCGGGUCUU